AGGAAAAUCCUUUUGCAUUAAUAAAAAAGAAGAGAAACACAGACAGACACGGGGGUUUAGGGUUCGCCAAGAUUGGGGAUUACCUGACGACUAUAAUAUUCUCCGCUAGAUCUUUGCUAGGAAGGAAGACGCGAUGGAGGAGGUGAAGCAUAAAUCAAGGAGAGAAGCGUCGGAGGAUACGAGGAGGAGUCACCGCGCGAAGGAGAGGAAUGGAGAGAGGCACAGAGAUAAGAGAGGCCGUGAGAGUCGGCGUUCCGAGAGAGAUAGGAGUUCUGAUUCUAAUGAUAGUUAUGAUAGAGGAAGGGACAGAGAGAAGGAUAAGCACAAAGACAGGGAUAAGGAUAGGAAAGAGAAAGAAAGAGAUAGAGAAAGAGGCAGAGAGAAGAAGAGAGACAGAGACAGAGAUAGAGAAAGGGAAAAGGACAAGGAAGAUAGGGAGAGGGAGAAAGAGAAGGAGAAGAGGGAGAGGGCGAAGGAGAAAGAGAGAGAGAGGGAGAAGAGGGAGAGAGAAAGAGAGGAUAAAGACAGGGAGAGGGAAAGGGAGCGGAGGGAGCGCGAGAGGGAAAGGGAUAAGGAGAGAGAGAGGGAGAGGAGGAGCACCCGUGAGAGGGAAAACCAUCGUCGGGAAAUUGAUAGUGAUGACAGUGAUGAUAAUGUAAGGGAAGAACGUGAUAAGAAGCGCCGUAGGAGAGAUGAUGAUGAUUACAAGGAGAAGGAGAGGGAGCGUGUACGUAGCAGCGGCAAGCGUGAGGAGAGUCCGAAAUCGAGGAGUGCUGAGGAUGAUUUGGAUAAGAAACCGACGAGAGAAGAGGAGUUGGAGGAGGAACAACAUAAGUUGGAUGAAGAAAUGGAGAAGCGGAGGAGGAGAGUUCAGGAGUGGCAAGAGUUGAGGAGAAAGAAGGAAGAAGCUGAAACAGAGAAGCAAGGGGAAGCCAAUGCUGAAGAGCCCAAGUCUGGCAAGACGUGGACCCUUGAAGGUGAAUCUGAUGAUGAAGAAGUGCCCUCUACUGGGAAAGUAGAAACGGCUAUGGAAAUUGAUGGAGAAGCCAACCCCAAUAAAGGAGUUACAGAUGAAAUGGCAAUAGAUUCUGAGAAUGGAUCUGCUCCAUCAGCUUUGCAAAAUGGGGUUGAUGGCACUUCUGGGGAUGAGGAAAUUGAUCCUUUAGAUGCUUUUAUGAAUUCUAUGGUUUUGCCUGAAGUUGAGAAAUUGAAUAAUGCUUCAGAGCCUGCAAGUAUUGAUGGUAAGAGUUUAGACUUGAACAAGGAUAAAAAGGAUGAUCAAAGCAAGGAUGAGCCGUGGAGGAAAGGUCCAAAUAAAUCUAUGGGCAGAAUAAUUCCUGGGGAGGAUUCUGAAUCAGAUUAUGAGGACGUUGAAAAUGAUGGGGAUCCACUAGAAGAUGAAGAUGAUGAUGAGUUCAUGAAAAGAGUAAAGAAGACAAAAGCUGAGAAGCUUUCUAUAGUUGACCAUUCAAAAAUUGAUUAUAUACCAUUCCGGAAGAAUUUCUAUAUUGAGGUAAAGGAGAUCUCAAGAAUGACCCCAGAAGAGGUUUCUGCGUACCGGAAACAAUUGGAAUUGAAGUUACAUGGUAAGGAUGUGCCAAAGCCAAUGAAGACCUGGCAUCAAACUGGACUUACAAGUAAAAUAUUGGAGACAAUAAGGAAGCUUAAUUAUGAAAAGCCAAUGCCAAUUCAAGCUCAGGCGCUGCCCGUAAUUAUGAGUGGUCGUGACUGCAUUGGCAUUGCGAAAACUGGCUCAGGCAAAACACUAGCGUUCGUACUUCCAAUGCUGAGGCAUAUAAAGGACCAGCCCCCUGUAGUUGCUGGAGACGGUCCUAUUGGGCUUAUAAUGGCACCUACCAGGGAACUUGUGCAGCAGAUUCACAGUGACGUAAAAAAGUUCUCCAAGGUACUUGGUCUUAGGUGUGUGCCUGUGUAUGGAGGCUCUGGUGUUGCCCAACAGAUCAGUGAACUGAAGCGUGGUGCUGAAAUUGUUGUUUGUACUCCUGGUAGGAUGAUCGACAUACUUUGCACAAGCGGUGGAAAAAUUACAAAUCUUCGUAGGGUCACUUAUUUGGUCAUGGAUGAAGCUGAUCGAAUGUUUGAUAUGGGUUUUGAACCUCAAAUCACUCGAAUUGUUCAAAACAUUCGGCCAGAUAGACAAACUGUACUCUUUUCUGCUACUUUCCCUCGUCAGGUAGAAAUCUUGGCGCGUAGAGUGUUGAACAAACCUGUGGAAAUACAGGUGGGUGGAAGGAGUGUUGUGAACAAGGAUAUCACACAGCUAGUUGAAGUGAGACAUGAAAAUGAAAGGUUUUUAAGAUUAUUAGAACUACUUGGAGAAUGGUAUGAGAAAGGAAAAAUUCUUAUCUUUGUUCACUCGCAGGAGAAGUGUGAUGCUUUGUUCAAGGAUCUAUUGCGACAUGGUUACCCUUGCCUCUCACUUCAUGGGGCAAAGGAUCAAACAGAUCGCGAGUCGACUAUUUCUGACUUCAAAAGCAAUGUUUGUAAUCUAUUGAUUGCAACUAGUAUUGCUGCCAGAGGUUUAGAUGUUAAGGAGCUCGAACUGGUGAUUAACUUCGAUGUUCCUAAUCACUACGAGGACUAUGUUCACCGCGUUGGUCGAACGGGUCGAGCUGGCCGUAAAGGUUGUGCCAUAACUUUUAUCUCUGAGGACGAUGCUAGGUAUGCCCCCGAUCUUGUAAAGGCACUGGAACUUUCUGAGCAAGUUGUUCCUGAUGACUUAAAAGCUCUUGCUGAUGGUUUCAUGGCAAAAGUGAAUCAGGGACUCGAGCAAGCACAUGGGACUGGUUAUGGGGGAAGCGGUUUUAAGUUUAAUGAGGAAGAAGAUGAAGUGAGGAGAGCAGCGAAGAAAGCACAGGCUAAAGAAUACGGUUUCGAAGAAGACAAGUCAGAUUCAGAAGAUGAAGAUGGUGGUGUCCGGAAGGCAGGUGGUGAGAUCUCACAGCAGGCUGCACUUGCUCAGAUAGCUGCCCUUGCUGCUGCCUCCAAAGCUGCUGCUACAACUGCAAAUCCUACCCCUAUUGUUCCCGGGCAACUGCUUCCAAAUGGCGGACUACCCGUUUCUCUUCCAGGUGUUCUUGGUCUGUCAUUACCUGGAACAGCAGCAGUGGUGCCUGGAACUGGGCUGCCUCUUGCUGCUAAUGACGGUGCAGCCCGGGCAGCAGCAAUUGCCGCCGCCAUUAACUUGCAGCAUAACCUGGCGAAGAUCCAAGCUGAUGCAAUGCCCGAACACUAUGAAGCAGAACUGGAGAUAAAUGAUUUCCCUCAGAAUGCUCGAUGGAAGGUCACCCACAAGGAAACUUUGGGACCUAUAUCGGAGUGGACAGGAGCUGCAAUUACUACGAGGGGGCAAUACUUCCCACCUGGCAAAGUCACUGGACCGGGAGAACGCAAACUUUACUUGUUCAUUGAGGGCCCUAGCGAGCAAUCUGUGAAGAAAGCUAAAGCAGAGUUGAAACGCGUUCUGGAAGACAUUUCACAUCAGGCUUUAUCACUUCCCGGUGGAAACCAGCCAGGCAAAUAUUCAGUUGUUUAAACCAUGUAUGCUCGCAUGUUACAUUUUGUCACUGCCCACAUCUUUGCUAAUGCGGUCUCCACUCUCCCGGGGAUACAAUCAUGGUUUCGAUAAAAAGCUGAGUCUGGUGAUAAAGGAGGUAUCAUAUAUUGGUUUUUCAGGCAUAUGUGGACACCUUAAAGGUGACGUUAAUUGCUGCUCUGCCUUUAAAAUGGAUGGAAUCUGUGGCAUUGUCCUAUCUAUCUAUAUACAUAUACACAUGACUUGAGAAAGCACUUGGGCAGUUUUACCUUGGGAUCUUGUAGUCGAGACUUCUUAUGACUCGUUUAGUUUAUCGUUUUACUAAAGAUUUCCUUAUUUUUCUUUUCUGCCAGGAAUUCCUUUAUGGUCGGUAAUGCCUAUUGGUUUUGUAAUUCGUGACUGUAACACAAAAUUCUCUUAUUUUUCUCUCUGAAUGAUAAUUCCGUGGUUUAGCAGCAGAGAAAGCUUUCUAAUAGAUUUGUUUCUGUUUUUCAGCCCGAGCAAUGUGAACAGAAGAUUGUUAAUGGUAAUCAUGGUUUCAUCAUAUAUUAAGAUACUUUUAAAAUGCUCAUAGUUUCAGCCAAUUACAGGCGAUGCAGCAUCAUCCUUACUCGGAGAAUUGUCUCGUACUCUCAUAUUGAAGCGGAGGCGAGUGUGGAUUUACCUACUGGUAGAUUAAAGCCGCAAACCAAACAAUUCGAAUCACCGUGUUGAUGUGGAGCCAAACCUCAGGGUUGUUUACUUAACCCGAAUGGUUAACUGUACUUGCCUUUUGUGCUGGCGAGAUGAUGUGUUAAAACACUGACACCGAAACAUGCACAACUUUGCCCCCAUUUGUUUCGUUAGUUAGAAUUCUGGUGCUUUAAACUUUUUUAUUUAAAUAGAAAAAUUCAAACUGUGUAGUUUAAUU